rnacentral:rRNA from 1 species
GGCUCAGGACGAACGCUGGCGGCGUGCUUAACACAUGCAAGUCGAACGGUGAAGCCUUCGGGUGGAUCAGUGGCGAACGGGUGAGUAACACGUGAGCAACCUGCCUCUGACUCUGGGAUAACCCCCGGAAACGGGUGCUAAUACCGGAUAUGACCUCCUGUCGCAUGGUGGGGGGUGGAAAGUUUUUCGGUCAGGGAUGGGCUCGCGGCCUAUCAGCUUGUUGGUGGGGUGAUGGCCUACCAAGGCGGUGACGGGUAGCCGGCCUGAGAGGGCGACCGGCCACACUGGGACUGAGACACGGCCCAGACUCCUACGGGAGGCAGCAGUGGGGAAUAUUGCGCAAUGGGCGAAAGCCUGACGCAGCGACGCCGCGUGGGGGAUGAAGGCCUUCGGGUUGUAAACCUCUUUCAGCGCCGAAGAAGCGAGAGUGACGGUAGGCGCAGAAGAAGCACCGGCUAACUACGUGCCAGCAGCCGCGGUAAUACGUAGGGUGCAAGCGUUGUCCGGAAUUAUUGGGCGUAAAGAGCUCGUAGGCGGUUUGUCGCGUCUGCUGUGAAAACUCGGGGCUUAACCCCGGGCUUGCAGUGGGUACGGGCAGACUAGAGUGUGGUAGGGGAGACUGGAAUUCCUGGUGUAGCGGUGAAAUGCGCAGAUAUCAGGAGGAACACCGGUGGCGAAGGCGGGUCUCUGGGCCAUAACUGACGCUGAGGAGCGAAAGCGUGGGGAGCGAACAGGAUUAGAUACCCUGGUAGUCCACGCCGUAAACGUUGGGCGCUAGGUGUGGGGCUCUUUCCACGAGUUCCGUGCCGCAGCUAACGCAUUAAGCGCCCCGCCUGGGGAGUACGGCCGCAAGGCUAAAACUCAAAG